rnacentral:ncRNA from 2 species
CUAGUAUUUACUAAUUCAGGCAUCCGGCGUCAGGCCGGAUUAAAAGGGCAGUCCGGUGUGAUUCCGGCACUGCCUUGCAGCUUUGAAGGAGAGCCAUAUUUCUGCAAGCCUGCCAGGGAGGAAUAUGGCAAUGACCCUAAGUCAGAGUACUGCCUGAUUUUUAGUAUCCGU